CGCGUAGGCGGCCAGGCAAGUUUGAUGUGAAAUCCCACGGCUUAACCGUGGAAUUGCAUCUUAUACUGCCUGGCUAGAGUCUGGGAGAGGGAAGUGGAAUUCCCGGUGUAGCGGUGAAAUGCGUAGAUAUCGGGAGGAAUACCAGUGGCGAAGGCGGCCUUCUGGACUGGCAACUGACGCUGAGGCGCGAAAGCUAGGGGAGCAAACG
rnacentral:rRNA from 1 species